AACGAACGCUGGCGGUGCGUCUUAAGCAUGCAAGUCGAACGGUAACGGGCCUUCGGGUGCCGACGAGUGGCGAACGGGUGAGUAACACGUAGGUGAUCUGCCUUUGGGUUGGGGAUAGCCUGUGGAAACACAGGGUAAUACCGAAUGAUGUCGUAGUACUGUGGUGCAACGAUUAAAGGGGCUAUGGCCCCGCCUGAAGAUGAGCCUGCGGCUGAUUAGCUAGUUGGUGAGGUAAAGGCUCACCAAGGCGACGAUCAGUAACCGGCCUGAGAGGGGGGGCGGUCACACUGGGACUGAGAUACGGACGAGAGUCCUACGGGAGGCAGCAGCUAAGAAUCUUCCGCAAUGGACGAAAGGCUGACUGCGCGACACCGCGUGAGUGAUGAAGGCGGAAACGUUGUAAAGCUCUUUCAUGGAUGAGGAAUAAGCUUGGAAGGGAAUGUCCGGGUGAUGACGGUAGGCCAUGAAUAAGCCCCGGCUAAUUACGUGCCAGCCGCCGCCGUAA
rnacentral:rRNA from 1 species